UAAUCUACACAUUUUCUUUAUCUUUUUCAUUGAUAUUACUUUGCAAAUGAAUUAAUCCGAUAACGAACAUUUUUAAUAGAGCUCAAAUUAACCAGCCCAAUAAGAGAUGUACCUAGGAGUGUUGAUCCUAAUGAUCUACGUAGGGUUGCGACAGGGUUGCGUGUUUAUAAUAAAAAUUGAUGAUCGAUAGGCGGAUCGAUAGGCGGAUCGAGACGCAUCGAACGAAAACAGUAAAUGAAUCGAUGUGUAGAAUAUUUAAGUUAGUAAUUAUUGAAGUGAUUGCCGUCAGGAGGCGCGGAAGAGGUCGAAAUAAGAUUUUCGAGACGCACUGCCGUCAGGCGGCGUUGAAUCUUGAGGAGCAAGCAAAUAAGCAAAGGAAAGCAUACUGGCAGUCCGCAGUCGUAGAAUGCCCCCGUAUCGUGUAACCGUGUUUCCCUUUACUGCUACGUAAUCGCCACAGGGAUUUUUAUAUCGUGUCACCAAUAACAUCGUACGCGCGGACUCUGAACUUGUCUGGCUGGUACCGGGAAAAAACGCGUUAAAAGUGCUCGAGUCACCUUCAUCGUCGAACCUUUUCUUCUAUAAUAAAGUCAAGAUAUCAAAGUGAAACAAAAGAUUUGCUUAUCGGCCUGCGUGACUUUAAUGCCUCUUCGUCUGAUUUAAACUUAUUCAGGUCGUCGUUAAACAGAAAUUACAACGGUCAAGGAUAAUAAAAAAAAAUGUCGAUAAAUUUUUACAAGGUACCGCAAUAUUUUGUCGACUUGUUAUUGUCGCGUGAACGAAGAAAAUUCCUUUACAGGAACGUUAUUAUUCGACUUUGAGUUUAUAUUAUUUUUCUUUUUCUUCAUCAUGCUAACAAACGCACGUUAGACGAUACUUGUGAUACCGUAAAAUGUCGAAUUCUUAUUCCGAAACACGGCAAUAUAUAUGUAUAUAGUUGGAACGAGUGAAUGUAAGGGGGGAGGGAGAGAG